rnacentral:rRNA from 1 species
GUGUCAGCCGCCGCGGUAAUACGUAGGUGGCAAGCGUUGUCCGGAUUUAUUGGGUUUAAAGGGUGCGUAGGCGGUUUAUUAAGUCAGUGGUGAAAGACGAUAGCUCAACUAUCGAGGUGCCAUUGAUACUGAUGAACUUGAGUGCACACGAGGUAAGCGGAAUGGACGGUGUAGCGGUGAAAUGCAUAGAUAUCGUCCAGAACACCGAUAGUGAAGACAGCUUACCAGAGUGCAACUGACGCUGAGGCACGAAAGUGUGGGGAUCAAACAGGAUUAGAUACCCUUGUAGUCC